UACGAAGGGGGCUAGCGUUGUUCGGAAUUACUGGGCGUAAAGCGCACGUAGGCGGACAUUUAAGUCAGAGGUGAAAUCCCAGAGCUCAACUCUGGAACUUGCCUUUGAUACUGGGUGUCUUGAGUAUGGAAGAGGUGAGUGGAAUUCCGAGUGAUAGAGGUGAAAUUCGUAGAUAUUCGGAGGAACACCAGUGGCGAAGGCGGCUCACUGGUCCAUUACUGACGCUGAGGUGACGAAGGCGUGGGGAGCAAAACAGG
rnacentral:rRNA from 1 species